rnacentral:rRNA from 1 species
UGGGGAAUCUUGCGCAAUGGGCGAAAGCCUGACGCAGCGACGCCGCGUGGAGGAUGAAGGCCUUCGGGUUGUAAACUUCUGUUAAGUGGGAGGAAAUGCCGAUUAAUAAUACGAAUCGGAGCUGACUGUACCAUUAGAGAAAGCACCGGCUAAACUCGUGCCAGCAGCCGCGGUAAUACGAGUGGUGCAAGCGUUAUUCGGAAUAAUUGGGCGUAAAGGGGGUGUAGACGGCGUAUUAAGUCAAUUGUU